AUUGAACGCUGGCGGCAGGCCUAACACAUGCAAGUCGAACGAGUGGCGGACGGGUGAGUCAUGUCUGGGAAACUGCCUGAUGGAGGGGGAUAACUACUGGAAACGGUAGCUAAUACCGCAUACCAUCGGAUGUGCCCAGAUGGGAUUAGCUAGUAGGUGGGGUAAAGGCUCACCUAGGCGACGAUCCCUAGCUGGUCUGAGAGGAUGACCAGCCACACUGGAACUGGGACACGGUCCAGACGCCUACGGGGGGAAGCAGUGGGGAAUAUUGCACAAUGGGCGCAAGCCGGAUGCGGCCAUGCCGCGUGGAUGAAGAAGGCCUUCGGGUUGUAAAGUACGUUCAGCGGGGAGGCGUUACCCGCAGAAGAAGCACCGGCUAACUCCGUGCCAGCAGCCGCGGUAAUAC
rnacentral:rRNA from 1 species